GACGAACGCUGGCGGCGUGCUUAACACAUGCAAGUCGAGCGGAAAGGCUCCUUCGGGGGUACUCGAGCGGCGAACGGGUGAGUAACACGUGAGUAAUCUGCCCUGUGCUCUGGGAUAGCCACCGGAAACGGUGAUUAAUACCGGAUACGACCACUAUAGGCAUCUGUUGGUGGUGGAAAGUUUUUUCGGCAUGGGAUGUGCUCGCGGCCUAUCAGCUUGUUGGUGAGGUAAUGGCUCACCAAGGCUUUGACGGGUAGCCGGCCUGAGAGGGUGACCGGUCACACUGGGACUGAGACACGGCCCAGACUCCUACGGGAGGCAGCAGUGGGGAAUAUUGGACAAUGGGCGGAAGCCUGAUCCAGCAACGCCGCGUGAGGGAUGACGGCCUUCGGGUUGUAAACCUCUUUCAGUACCGACGAAGCGAAAGUGACGGUAGGUACAGAAGAAGGACCGGCCAACUACGUGCCAGCCGCCGCGGUAAAAC
rnacentral:rRNA from 1 species